GGAAAAAUACUAUUAAUAAUAGAAAAAGGACUAUAAUGAAAAUCCUAACUACCGAAAAAACAACAAUUUCAAGAUUCAAGGCCUCCUCAUAACUAAAAUAUAUGUCCACGAAGAACUGUUACACAUAGAUAUAUAUUUUUCUUUUACUACUACUAAUGUGACAAAUAAUCAUGGAAUGAAGCAAUAAUAAAAGAAAGCCCAUCAUUAUAAUUCUUGCCGUGACAAACCCCACGAAAAAAUUUCUUGUGGUGAAAUGAAUCCUCGACCGGAGCAAGAUCGUACAUAAUAAUCACACGGAACUAAUUAAGAUUUCUACAAGCGCGAGACCUGCGAGUUUAACGGGAAUAAAGACAUGGGAAUUGGCGGACGGGGUGUUUUCACUUUCUUCUUCAAUUUCUCAGAGGCGUUUUGCGUGCUUACAUCAGAUACACGUGUCGAUGAAGAGACGAAACAACUAAAGAAGUUCGAGUUAAAAAAAGACAUAUUGUAUAAAGUGAUCACUAUGAAAUAUGGUGUGGAGUAGUAUAUAUCAUGUGUUUUUGAUGAAAUGAAGAGAAUAUGCUAAAAUAUUGUAUGCUUAAGAAAUGAUGGGAUGUGGCUAUUUUAUAGUGAAUUCAUGAAAUAAG
rnacentral:lncRNA from 1 species